CUACGGGGGGCUGCAGUGGGGAAUAUUGGACAAUGGGCGAAAGCCUGAUCCAGCCAUGCCGCGUGUGUGAAGAAGGCCUUCGGGUUGUAAAGCACUUUCAGUGGGGAAGAAAGCCUUGGGGCUAAUACCCUCGAGGAAGGACAUCACCCACAGAAGAAGCACCGGCUAACUCCGUGCCAGCAGCCGCGGUAAUACGGAGGGUGCGAGCGUUAAUCGGAAUUACUGGGCGUAAAGCGCGCGUAGGCGGUCUGAUAAGCCGGUUGUGAAAGCCCCGGGCUCAACCUGGGAACGGCAUCCGGAACUGUCAGGCUAGAGUGCAGGAGAGGAAGGUAGAAUUCCCGGUGUAGUGGUGAAAUGCGUAGAGAUCGGGAGGAAUACCAGUGGCGAAGGCGGCCUUCUGGACUGACACUGACGCUGAGGUGCGAAAGCGUGGGUAGCAAACAGGAUUAGAUACCCCGGUAGUC
rnacentral:rRNA from 1 species